rnacentral:lncRNA from 1 species
CUUAAACCAGUGACAUACAUAUCAAACACUAAAAGAAUGAAACGGAAAAUGCCGACAUGAUACGCACAAACAGCAAAUGAAAAAUAAAUUAGAACAUGGUAAACAGAGAUAAUCAAAUUGAAAAAAAACCACUUGAACCUCGAUGGAUGACGUUGAUCUUGCUACAUAUCCAGUUGUUUUCCGUAUUGAGCUCGAGACAUUGAGUAUCGUUACACACAAUAAUGACGAUGAAGACGGAGUAACUUACCGUUGAAGAGAGGUUGACAGCGUGAGAUGCAGAUUCAAUACCGUUAAUGGUGCGGUUGAGUUCGGAAACAGAAACAAUGUUGUCGUUGGUUCGUGUUGCUGAAACGGAAUGUCAACACGGCGUCGUUGUUAGUUGGAUGGAGUUCUGUCCAAAAAUAACAAGGUUAAUGCGCGGUAGCUCUUCGAAUCGGACCGAGUUUCGUGGUUGGGAUUUGAAGAGAAAGUCGUUCACGAUGUAGAUCGGCAGACCAAUAGAGAAGUGGUUUCGGUUGUUUGUUUGGUGGCGGAAGAGGGUUCAAAGGGGAUUUCGGCGAUUGAGAAUGAGAAAGGGAUAAUCGUAUUGGUGAGCUUGGUUUUUCAUCGGUGAAGACGAUAAAGGUGGUGGUGAGCGGUGAAGCAGAAGGUUUGUGUGGGUUUCCGGCGACUGGAAGAAGGUCGUCGCCGGCGUCGCUGAAUGUUCAGAGUGAUGGGUUGUUUUAUGAUGGUGAAGGCAAGACAGCGAGUUGAAGAAAACUGAGGGAGUGAAGCGAAUAUUGUGGUGCGGUUGUGUGCCGACGGAAGGAGAAAGAAGAAGACAUUCAGAAAGAACCCUUUUCUUGUGUCUGUUGGGUUUUUUUUAGCCAAUGAGAGAGAAGAGUAUCCUUUUCUUUUCUUUUCGUUGAGAGUCUCUGAGUGUGAGGUACUGAAUAGUGAGUGGGUUAUAUGAAUGAGGUGAGACUGAGAAAGAGUUAAAGUGAGUGAGGUGAUAGGUGGCGUGUGUUGAGAGAGAUGGAGGUAGCGUGAAGGUAAGAGAUACGCAAGCUGGAUACCAGCUGUCAAAAAAAGAGAAUCCAAUGUAAAUUUUAUUUUAUUUUUGAGGAAAACAAUUACUAUUAUAAAAAAUCCUAUUAAAAAUUUCUAAUAACUAUUUUGAUUUGUUAACCUAAUAAAAAUAGUGAUCGAUUAUAAAUAUAAGUCGGAUAUAAAUUUGCUCGAAAAAUUAAAUCAAACACACUAAAAUGAUCAGCACAAAAUAUACUUAUUGAAAAAAUACAGCGUUUCCUCAAAUUCUGAAAUAAAUUUGCACCGGUCAAAAGGCUUAGGCGGGUCAAAAUGUAAUCGAAACAGUCGCUAAAAAAAUACAACGAGCACACCAAGUUAAACUACGUGAACAGUAGAUUAAUAAUAAUGGUGUCUGCAAUUUUAAAUUUGAAACUUUUUACCCGCUGAUUUUACAUGUUCUUGAGAAAUGAUUUAACCAAUUUGUCUGUAUUUUCAAUAAAUUUAUUCUAACUGAUAUUUUAGAUUUUAUUCAUGAUGAAAUGCAUGUCAUGUUGUGCAUAUGAUGCAAAUUAAAAAUAAAAUCAAUUUUACAAAAAUUUAAAUAUGUCCGGACAAAAUUGGGGUAUGAC